UUCGGAUCGCAGGCUGCAACCCGCCCUGCGUGAAGUCGGAAUCGCUAGUAAUCGCGGAUCAGCAUGCCGCGGUGAAUACGUUCCCGGGCCUUGUACACACCGCCCGUCACACCAUGAGAGUCGGGAACACCCGAAGUCCGUAGCCUAACCGCAAGGAGGGCGCGGCCGAAGGUGGGUUCGAUAAUUGGGGUGAAGUCGUAACAAGGUACC
rnacentral:rRNA from 1 species